UGCAAAAAUAUUAAAUGACAAUGUAUUGAAUCGCUUUUGUUGAUAUGUAUGAUAUUGAUUAAAUUGUAUUUGCAUGCUGUAACAUUUCUAUUCCAUUUCAGGGGGCUGUGGUGAGUAUUGUAGUAUAAAUUUGUUUCAAUAAAUCAUGAUGAAUGAAAACUGAUUUUGAUUCGUUUUGUACAGGUUUACUUGUAUAGAAGUGUAAUGCGUUGGGUAGAAAUUAGAAUCUACUCAGUACUGAUAUAGUGUCGAUAUGUUGUGAUUAGCGAUGAUGGUGUAUGAUGGUGGAACAGAACAUGAGCUACUUUGGGGAAACGAACAUAUGAUUGAACAAUGAUUGCAAACAUAUUAGAUGAAUGAUAUGAUAUUGCUUAAAUUGUAUUUGCAUGCUGUAACAUUUCUAUUUCAUUUCAGGGUGCUGUGGUGAGUACUGUAGAUUGUAGUGCAUAUGUAUAGAAUUCAAUAAAAGAUUAUGACUGAAAACUGCUUUUGAUUCUUAUUGUACAGUUUUAGGGAUUAUAAGUCUAUAGCAACUCUGUCGGUUGGUGUUCAUGAGUGUGAGCUUAAUACAGCAAUGUUUGAGUAGUACAAAAAUGUUUUCGCUUUUGUGGUCGCCAGCUGUCCGUGAUCUGUAAAGUGAAAAUACACAGAGCUAUGAAGCAUACAAAUGUUUCGAAAUUUUAUCAAUGAUUGUAUACUAUGCAUGUUUUGAUUUAGUUCGUUUCAGAUUUGACAUGAGAUGAAAACCUGACAUGAUUUGAACAGAGCUGGGAAACGAAAAGGUAAGUCUGUUUCAUUCCACUAUGAACACUUGUAUUUUGACAAAAGAAGAGAUAAAGUGAGUUACUUUAUCAUCAUGGUUUCAUUUGGUGUAUUACACAUGAACAGAGGUAAACCUAGCUAGCUUUUCGUGUACUCUAUUUUGGAUGAUGAGUAUGUCAGUAACUUUAAUUGUACGGCUAGUAAAGUAUGAACAUGAAUGCUUUGUUCAGAUUUUCAGAUGUGUGCUGGCAGUUCAAGUCUGGCAGCUGGAGUGAACAGUCGUGUUUUCUGGAGCUCCAACAAUAUGCUAGAAGGUAAGUAACUAUGUUUGUUUUGCAUUGCAUGUUUUUAUAUGUUUCAGACUUUCAAGCAGAGAUGUCAUGCUGACUGGAGUUGAGCACAGGGCAGUGACAAAGUGAAAGGUAAGUACUUUUGACUGAAUGUUUGUUCUAUGCAUGUUUUGUUUUAAUACAUUUCAGGAGUGCUUAUCCAGUGAUGAUAUGACAGUUGGAGUGAACAGUGGAGCCAAGCAGUCUUGUUUUUGGAGCUACUCAACAAGCCUUGAAGAUGCUGAUGGCAGUGAUGGGUUUUCAAGCUGACCUGAACAGAAAAGCACUCAUAUGGUAAGUACAAAAUAGUUGUUAUAUGGGAUGUUUUGUGCAUGCUUUUAUGUUUCAGGUGUACUUGCUGACAGCGACGAAGACGAAUCAAGAAGAGGAACAUUGUUGAGAAAGUGAUUGGGACUUGAAAACAGGAUUCGAGUCACUGGUUUACACAUGGAAGAAGAUUUCCACGUCUGUUACUCAACUCUACAGAAUCAAG